rnacentral:lncRNA from 1 species
GCACUCCGGGGACAUUUAUUGACAUUGGUGGCACUGCCGUGGUGGCACCUUGGGGACACCUGGGGACAUUCAGGGGUGGCACUUUGGGGACAGGGUGACAUUGGGGUGGUGGCACUUGGGGGACACUUUGGGGACAUUGGUUGACACGGUGACCCCGGGGGUGGUGGCACCUCGGGGACAUUCAGGGGGUGGUGGCACCUUGGGGACAUUGAUUGACACGGUGACACUGGGGGUGGUGGCACCUUGGGGACACCUUGGGGACACGGUGGUGGCACCUUGGGGACACUGCAGGGACUUUGAGGGGGGUGGUGGCACCUUGGUGGCCUCAAGAGCCGCCGGUGGCACUUGGGGACAUCUGGGGACGCUUUGGAGGCGCUGGCAGGUGGCACUUGGGGACACUUUGGUGGCAUCUGGGGAGGCUUUGGUGGCCCUUGGGGACAUCUGGGGACGCUUGGGUGGCACUUGGGUGGCGCUUGGGGGACGCUCCGGUGUCACUGGGAGGUGGCACUCGGGGACGUUUUGGGGACAUUCGGGGACAUUUUGGGGACAUUUGGGGACGUUUUGGGGACAUUUGGGGACGUUUCGGUGGCGCCGCCCUCGGGCUCCGUCGGGGUCACCUGAGGGGACAAAGGGGGGGGGCCUGGCGGUGUCACCUCCCCCUCCUUGGGGACAGCGGGUGGCCCCAAAAUCCCCCAAAUUCACCCCAAAAUCCCCUCAGGAACCCCAAAAUCCCCAAAAUUCACCCCAAAAUCCCCCAAAUUCACCCCAAAAUCCCCUCAGGAACCCCAAAAUCCUCAAAAUUUACCCCAAAAUCCCCUGGGACCCCAAAAACCCCAAAAUUCACCCCAAAAUCCACCUGGGAGCCCCAAAAUCCCCCAAAUUCACCCCAAAAUCCCCUCAAGGACCCCAAAAUCCCCCAAAUUCACCCCAAAAUGCUCUGAAUUUACCCCAAAAUCCCCUCAGGAGCCCCAAAAUCCCCCAAAUUUACCCCAAAAUCCCCUCAAGAACCCCCAAAUCCCCCAAAUUUGCUCAAAAUCCUCAAAAUUUACCCCAAAAUCCCCUCAGGACCCCAAAAUCCCCCAAAUUUACCCCAAAAUCCACCUGGGAGCCCCAAAAUCCCCCAAAUUCACCCCAAAAUCCCCUCAAGGACCCCAAAAUCCCCAAAAUUCACCCCAAAAACCCCUCAGGGACCCCAAAAUCCCCCAAAUUCACCCCAAGAUCCCAAAAAUUCACCCCAAAAUCCCCUCAGGAACCCCAAAAUCCUCAAAAUUUACCCCAAAAUCCACCGGGGAGCCCCAAAAUCCCCCAAAUUCACCCCAAAAACCCCUCAAGAACCCCCAAAUCCCCCAAAUUUGCUCAAAAUCCUCAAAAUUUACCCCAAAAUCCCCUCGAGGACCCCAAAAUCCCCCAAAUUCACCCCAAAAUGCUACGAAUUUACCCCAAAAUCCCCAAAAUUCACCCAAAAUCCUCAAAAUUUACCCCAAAAUCCCCUCAGGAACCCCAAAAUCCCCAAAAUUUACCCCCAAAUCCCCUCAAGGACACCAAAAUUCCCAAAAUUCACCCCAAAAUGCUCCAAAUUUACCCCAAAAUCCCCUCGAGGACCCCAAAAUUCACCAAAUUCACCCCAAAAUUCCACUUGAGAGCCCCAAAAUCUCCUGAAUUUACCCCAAAAUCCCCUCAGGGACCCCAAAAUCCCCAAAUUCACCCCAAAAUCCUCAAAAUUUACCCCAAAAUCCCCUCGAGGACCCCAAAAUGAGCCAAAUUCACCCCAAAAUCCACCUGGGAGUCCCAAAAUCCCCCAAAUUCACCCCAAAAACCCCUCAGGAACCCCAAAAUCCCCCAAACUCCACCUGGGACCCCCAAAAAGUCUCUCAGGGACUCCAAAAUUUCCUAAAUCCACCCCAAAAUCCACCUGGGACCCCCCAAAAUCCCCCAAAUUCACCCCAAAAUGCUCCGAAUUUACCCCAAAAUCCCCUCAGGGACCCCAA